rnacentral:rRNA from 1 species
GUCUACGACCAUGCCACCUUGUACAAGCCCGAUCCCAUCUGAUCUCGGAAGCUAAGCAGGGUCAGGCUUUGUUAGUACUUGGAUGGGAGACCACCUAGGAAGACCAGGUGCUGUAGACG